CCUACGGGUGGCACCAGUGGGGAAUAUUGGACAAUGGGCGAAAGCCUGAUCCAGCAAUGCCGCGUGAGUGAAGAAGGCCUUAGGGUUGUAAAGCACUUUCGACGGGGACGAUGAUGACGGUACCCGUAGAAGAAGCCCCGGCUAACUCCGUGCCAGCAGCCGCGGUAAUACGAAGGGGGCUAGCGUUGCUCGGAAUGACUGGGCGUAAAGGGCGCGUAGGCGGUUUAUGCAGUCAGAUGUGAAAUCCCCGGGCUUAACCUGGGAACUGCAUUUGAGACGCAUAGACUAGAGGUCGAGAGAGGGUUGUGGAAUUCCCAGUGUAGAGGUGAAAUUCGUAGAUAUUGGGAAGAACACCGGUGGCGAAGGCGGCAACCUGGCUCGAUACUGACGCUGAGGCGCGAAAGCGUGGGGAGCAAACAGGAUUAGAUACCCUUGUAGUC
rnacentral:rRNA from 1 species